UACAGAGGUCUCGAGCGUUGUUCGGAUUCAUUGGGCGUAAAGGGCGCGUAGGCUGCGGGGCAAGUCGGGUGUGAAAUCUCAGAGCUCAACUCUGAAACUGCACUCGAUACUGCUUUGCUUGAGGACUGGAGAGGAGAUUGGAAUUCAUGGUGUAGCAGUGAAAUGCGUAGAGAUCAUGAGGAAGACCAGUGGCGAAGGCGGGUCUCUGGACAGUUCCUGACACUGAGACACGAAGGCCAGGGGAGCAAACGGG
rnacentral:rRNA from 1 species